GUAAGACGGAGACUAAAGGAGAAUUACACGGAAGGGGAGAAACCCUGGGAGACAGUGAAUCCUCGGCCGUGACAUAGAACAAGAGGAGAGGCCAAGUCUGGCCGGGAGGUGGGGGAGGGGAGCGGCGAACUAAGUCUCCGGCCAGCUCGAGUUCGGCGCAAAGGUGCUGUUCUGCCGAGAGACCGGCCCCGGCCAAGUGGCUGUUACCCAGCCGAGUGUAUGCGCGCCAGCUUCCUGCCCGGCCCCGAGCGGAGGAGCAGCCUGGGACGCUGCAGGCUCGGCCGGAAUCGCUGGGAGGCCGGGAAGCCGCGAGCAUUCACCGAGAAGUGGCACUUUGCCAUCCUGGGGAUGGAAGCGGCCUCGCUAGACCAGGCCUAAAAACCAUGAACCAAAGACACCAGCUCUAGCUCCAGAAUUAGCCACCCCUCUAUCCCGCACCACACUUCGUGGCAGCCGCACUCCGGGGGUUCCUUUCCUCCCUUCCCCCUCCUCCCCACGUUCUCCCGCUCCUGGGCCCCAUCACUGGUAAAAUGAAAGGGAAAAGGCUGUUAACAACUCUCUGUAGGAAACCUGGAAUUGGUCUUAGUCUCUGGGCUUGAUCCUUUGCACCCACUUAGUGUUGCAGGUUGCUUUGCCUCCCAGAGGAGCAAAAGGGGAAGCUUCCAGAGUUGAAGUGGUUCACAGAAAGAUGAUCCUGUAGUAAGUGAAUCCUCCAGCAAAUGUUAACGUAUAUUUAUUUUUCCAUUGAUGGUUUUAAUAUUCGCAAUCCUGGCCUCAGAGUGCAAAUGAACUCUUUAUCUGGGGGCAAGAAUUACAGUUUGCUUGAACUCACUUCCCCCCUCAUUCCCCUACUCCUUGGUUUCCCUGCUAGAUUUUCAAAACCCACUUUCUCCAGGGCUGUCUUUCUGAGAACUUUGACCCUGACCAGGGCCUAAGUCCUUGGCUAUAUCCAUGCGGUAGAGGCGAGAACGUUUUCCAUGCGUUCUCCCCUCUGACUCAGUAAUUCAGUUUGAGAACGAGAUUCUCCGCGUCUCCCUCUUCUCCUCCCCCCCCUCCCACCCCCGCCUUAACUCACUUGGUUUUUAACUUCCCCUAAAUCUCCCUUCUUGCUCAGAAAGGCACAGAGGAGGGGAAACCGAGAGGAAACACGCUGCCGCUGUGCGAAAUGCGGACCAUGUGUGGGAACGAUCCAGUCAAAGUGAUGAGCUAUGGAGGCUGCCGAAGUAAUAUCAGCAGUAGUGAGAUUAAGCUAAAGGAUACACUCUAGUUUACAGAGCUGAGGCAGCGGCCUAGGGUGAAAGAGCAAAAGGCCCUCUUUUCGACAGUUCAGAGGCUAGAAGGUUAUAGCAGCUUGAGUAUCAACAAAGGGAGACUGGGAAGAGAGAAGAGCCAGGGAAUGGAAGAUGAGCCACUGGGAGAGGAAGAGGGGGCAGCUGCUAAGAGCUCUCUGGCUGCUGUGG
rnacentral:lncRNA from 1 species